AGCGCCAGCAAUCUUGCAAGGUCCGCUCACUGUGCACUCUAUAGAAGCUCGAGCGUUCAAACUCCUACAAAGUGAGCUCAAUGCAGGCUCUAUAGGGGCUCGACCAUUGGAAGUCCUGUGAAGCGCGCUCGCUUUGCAUUUAACAGUCAAUCGAGCACUGGUGGCUUUUAACAACGCAUGUUUUGAAGUCAUUUUUUACCUUUUUACCUUAACUGUUUUUUGAAAAACCUGAUCUCAUCUUUUCACUAGAGAUUCGGGAAUACAAGCUUGAGACACUUUUUUUUCUCUAUCUAGUUCUUUGUUCAAGCUUGUGCUCCGAGAAUCCAUGAAUGGGACUUUCAAUCUAAAGGUGAUCUCAUGAUUUCUAUCUCACAAUCUCUCUAGAUUGAUUGUUUUCUUGUUGAUUUCUAUAAAAACCUUCACACAUAUCCUCCAUUCCAAAAACACCAUGGUUGAUUGAAGAUUGAAGCCAUUGAUUUGGAAAUUGAAGUUUGAAGCUUCAUGGAGAUACUUGGAUCAACAGAGCUCGUGGUUGCGAGGCCGCUUUGACCGGAGAUCAAGCUUCUUGAAGCUUGUGGUGGGCUCAACUAUAGGUUAAGGACAACACUAGAGAGGAGGAUAAGACCUUGGCAUAUUCAUAUGGUUUGUUGUGAUAAGCUAUGAGGCCUUCUAUAUGUUGCACUGAGAAAUUUUGUCCAACUUGUUGAAAAAUACCAUGUAGCUCGAAAAAGAGGGGCUUGAAUGGCCCGAAUGGGUGUCUACCG